rnacentral:rRNA from 1 species
AGUAACGGCGAGUGAAGCGGCAAGAGCUCAAAUUUGAAAGCUGGCUCCUUCGGGGUCCGCAUUGUAAUUUGCAGAGGAUGUUUCGGGAGCGGCCCCCAUCUAAGUGUCCUGGAACGGACCGUCAUAGAGGGUGAGAAUCCCGUAUGGGAUGGGGUGCCCGCGCCCAUGUGAAACUCCUUCGACGAGUCGAGUUGUUUGGGAAUGCAGCUCUAAAUGGGUGGUAAAUUUCAUCUAAAGCUAAAUAUUGGCCGGAGACCGAUAGCGCACAAGUAGAGUGAUCGAAAGAUGAAAAGCACUUUGAAAAGAGAGUUAAAAAGCACGUGAAAUUGUUGAAAGGGAAGCGUUUGCGAUCAGACUCGCCGACGGGGUUCAGCCUGCCUUCGGGCAGGUGUACUUCCCCGCCGGCGGGCCAGCGUCGGUUUGGGCGGCCGGUCAAAGGCUCUGGGAAUGUAACGCCUCUCGGGGCGUCUUAUAGCCCAGGGUGUCAUGCGGCCUGCCCGGACCGAGGAACGCGCUUCGGCUCGGACGCUGGCAUAAUGGUCGUAAACGAC